rnacentral:rRNA from 1 species
AUGUUCGUGUGUUUUUUUUCUAGGGUGAAGAAGACUACCACACGCGUGACCAAGCAGAACCCCAGAGACCCACUCGAACGCAUACACUCAAAGCUGUCGACUGGUGGCAACUCAAACGUUCAUGAGGCGCCAGUGGACAAACCUGCUGCUGCAGCGUCCACUGUUCCCACUAGCUCUGAUGCAAGCGGCCGAGCAUCUCCGCCGGUUGCAGAUGUGCAGGCUACGACAGCAGGCAUCCGUACAUCUGGGAGUGACGAGUCGGUAUCUGCCAGGACUGCUGAAAUAUUGCCCACUCUGCUGGCAAUGAAGGAUGCUGCUGUGAGCCAUGCCACCCGAUCAGCAAGUAUUGAAGUGGACGCCCCCGAGAUCAACCUAAGCAAGGAAGAUUCCCGCUCAUCUGACACGGAUUCCAAGCGCGUGGGUGGUGGCACUUCUUCGUCCAUGAAAGAAGGGGCUGAGGCGACAGUUCAUAAUGAUAUGCCAUCCACAGGUGAGACUCUUGGCACAGCAGCUCCAACUUCUGGUGCUCCAGAGGUUGCUAAGGUGACCGUUACGCGAGCUGGUCUUCCACCUAGGCGUCGUAGCCCCUGCAAGCAAUCUGCAAAUAUACCCAACGCGUCGGCUGUAGCUAGGAGCAGCAGAGAUGACUCUGGUUAUGUGCCUACGUCCACACUGUUCCCACCAUCUGCCAGAAGCAAUGUUAUGGAGAGAACGGAAGACCGGAGUACAACCGACCCAGGUGGCAAGGCGGGCACGACUGACGGAGGUGAACGUGCGGAGCAGACUGCGUCUUUACCUGCCGUGGUUAACCCCAGCUUAAAUCUGUGCACUUCGCCGCUCCCAGUCAACAUCGGUGUCCCCUACAGCCCAAAUAAGAAGAUUAUCAAGAAAGCUGCGACUGAUACCGCUGACAGCACGCCCCGCCCUACGAAUAAGCCCGAUGAUUCUGCAGCGGCUGAUGCAGAAAUGUUUGUUGAUCUUACACCCUUGGAUUCUGCCCAGCAAGUUGUUCGCAGUCCGGCCAGUAGGCAGGAGAGGCACCCAAUGGCCUUCACCCCACCGAGCUGUAGCCUUGCCAUCGAUCGCAGUCAAGAUGAACCAGUGGUGCAAGAUCCUUCACCAGUUGCCUUUGCUUUCCCGGCAGGCAUGGCCCCAAUGAUGGCGCAACCAACGGUCGAGGGCAAGAAGGCUGUGAAGUUCACAGAGCCGAUUGUGCAAGCCACCCCCGAGGAGAUUACGCCGUCACUUGAUGAAGCUUACCGCAGGAUUAAGGAGGCAGCAUUGCAGAGAAGGUCCUCACGAGGUCAGGGGCAAUCAAGUUCCAACGUGCCUGCUGAGUCGGUAUCUGAGGAUACCAUUAGAAGUGCCACCCCUGGUUCUGUGAGGCAGCACAUGGUAGUUCACGCACCACCCGCGGAUGAUUAUGAGCCGGAAAUCAAGGCCACAAAGGAUCAGAACCAGCUGUACGAAAUUGUCAAGCGCUUUGGAAAUGCGAGGUCCAACAGCAAGCACAUGAAGGAGCUGAAAGCGUAA